AUUGAACGCUGGCGGCAGGCCUAACACAUGCAAGUCGAACGGUAACAGGAAACAGCUUGCUGUUUCGCUGACGAGUGGCGAACGGGUGAGUAACGCGUGAGGAACCUGCCUCAAAGAGGGGGACAACAGUUGGAAACGACUGCUAAUACCGCAUAAGCCCACGACCCGGCAUCGGGUUGAGGGAAAAGGAGCGAUCCGCUUUGAGAUGGCCUCGCGUCCGAUUAGCUAGUUGGUGAGGUAACGGCCCACCAAGGCGACGAUCGGUAGCCGGACUGAGAGGUUGAACGGCCACAUUGGGACUGAGACACGGCCCAG
rnacentral:rRNA from 1 species